GACGAACCGUGCAAACGUUGUUCGGAAUCACUGGGCUUAAAGGGCGCGUAGGCGGGCCAGCCAGUCUGUGGUGAAAGCCUCCAGCUUAACUGGAGAAGUGCCGUGGAUACUGCUGGCCUCGAGGAGGAUAGGGGCAUCUGGAACGGUCGGUGGAGCGGUGAAAUGCGUUGAUAUCGACCGGAACUCCGGUGGCGAAGGCGGCGUCCUGGACCAACACUGACACUGAGGAGCGAAAGCGUGGGGAGCGAACAGG
rnacentral:rRNA from 1 species